rnacentral:lncRNA from 1 species
AUGAGUAAUGAGUUACAGAGAUAGUCUGAAGGCAUGGAUACUCAGUCUAUACUGCUCAAUCUAAAAGAGCACUAGGAUGUUUUGAAUAAAAAAAAAUUAAAUAUCAAUUUUUCUGCUACACUAUCUGGAACCCUACAUGAGGAACUUGAUACACCCAAUUUGCUAGAUGACUUCUCUUAUUAUCAAGUGCUUGAUGACGACGAUAUAUGUAAGCUGUGAUAAAGACUAGAAGAAGCGAAGGUAGAAGAGGAAGGGGAGGAA